rnacentral:rRNA from 1 species
GACGAACCGUCCAAACGUUAUUCGGAAUCACUGGGCUUACAGAGUUCGUAGGCGGUCUGGAAAGUUGGGUGUGAAAUCCCCGGGCUCAACCCGGGAACUGCGUCCGAUACUGGAAGGCUUGAAUCCGGGAGAGGGAUGCGGAAUUCCAGGUGUAGCGGUGAAAUGCGUAGAUAUCUGGAGGAACACCGGUGGCGAAGGCGGCAUCCUGGACCGGCAUUGACGCUGAGGCGCGAAAGCCAGGGGAGCAAACGGG